GAACAUGAAUGUUCAAAAUUUUACCUCAGCUAUCUUUGCAACCAAUUCAUCAGCCUUCUUUCCAAUGAGAAGUUGAGCAAACCCGUCAAAGAAAAGUAGCCUAAUAUGUGGCAAACUUCCAUAUGAGACAUGUAAGACCAAUUUAAACCUAAUGUUAUAAAAAAAAAAAACACAACUCAAUGGUCUUCGCCGCAUUUUCAUAGGUGAAUCAAUUUUAAAGAACAAACUAAUGAGUGACUCGUACUUGCAAUCAACAUCUGUACCGUCUUUGUCGCAAACACCACAACUGUAUAAUCGUUCUUUUCCG
rnacentral:lncRNA from 1 species